rnacentral:rRNA from 1 species
UACAGAGGAUGCAAGCGUUAUCCGGAAUGAUUGGGCGUAAAGCGUCUGUAGGUGGCUUUUUAAGUCCGCCGUCAAAUCCCAGGGCUCAACUCUGGACAGGCGGUGGAAACUACCAAGCUGGAGUACGGUAGGGGCAGAGGGAAUUUCCGGUGGAGCGGUGAAAUGCGUAGAGAUGUGGAGGAACACCGAUGGCGAAGGCAGGUCUCUGGGCAUUAACUGACGCUGAGGAGCGAAAGCAUGGGGAGCGAACAGG